AUACGGAGGGUGCGAGCGUUAAUCGGAAUUACUGGGCGUAAAGCGUACGUAGGCGGUUUGCUAAGUCAGAUGUGAAAGCCCCGGGCUUAACCUGGGAACUGCAUUUGAUACUGGCAGACUAGAGUAUGAUAGAGGGGGGUAGAAUUCCUGGUGUAGCGGUGAAAUGCGUAGAUAUCAGGAGGAAUACCAGUGGCGAAGGCGGCCCCCUGGAUCAAUACUGACGCUGAGGUACGAAAGCGUGGGGAGCGAACAGGAUUAGAAACCCUUGUAGUCC
rnacentral:rRNA from 1 species